rnacentral:rRNA from 1 species
ACGUAGGUGGCAAGCGUUGUCCGGAAUUAUUGGGCGUAAAGGGCUCGCAGGCGGUUUCUUAAGUCUGAUGUGAAAGCCCCCGGCUCAACCGGGGAGGGUCAUUGGAAACUGGGAAACUUGAGUGCAGAAGAGGAGAGUGGAAUUCCACGUGUAGCGGUGAAAUGCGUAGAGAUGUGGAGGAACACCAGUGGCGAAGGCGACUCUCUGGUCUGUAACUGACGCUGAGGAGCGAAAGCGUGGGGAGCGAACAGG